UACGUAGGGUGCAAGCGUUAUCCGGAAUUAUUGGGCGUAAAGAGCUCGUAGGCGGUUUGUCGCGUCUGCUGUGAAAACUGGAGGCUCAACCUCCAGCCUGCAGUGGGUACGGGCAAACUAGAGUGCGGUAGGGGAGAUUGGAAUUCCUGGUGUAGCGGUGGAAUGCGCAGAUAUCAGGAGGAACACCGGUGGCGAAGGCGGGUCUCUGGGCCGAUACUGACGCUGAGGAGCGAAAGCGUGGGGAGCAAACAGG
rnacentral:rRNA from 1 species